GCCCUGGUGGCUCAGUGGCUGAGCACUGACCUAUGAACCAGGAGGUCAGGGUUCCAUUCCCGGUCAGGGCA
rnacentral:tRNA from 1 species